rnacentral:rRNA from 1 species
GUGCCAGCAGCCGCGGUAACACGUAGGGGGCGAGCGUUAUUCGGAUUUACUGGGCGUAAAGCGCGUGUAGGCGGCUCUAUAAGUUGGAUGUGAAAGCUCCCGGCUUAACUGGGAGAGGACGUUCAAAACUAUAGAGCUUGAGUACGAGAGAGGGAAAUGGAAUUCCGGGUGUAGUGGUGAAAUGCGUAGAUAUCGGGAGGAACACCAGUGGCGAAGGCGAUUUUCUGGCUCGAUACUGACGCUCAGACGCGAAAGCGAGGGUAGCAAACGGGAUUAGAGACCCCGUUGGUCCUGGCGGUAA